ensembl:lncRNA
AGUAUUUAAUUGGACACAGUGGCAAAACCCAGAGGGGCCAUAGUCUCAAUCUAGGGCUGUCAUUUCUAAGGUAGUGUUGAAAAGGGUGAUGCUGAUGCUUGGGCCUGAGCAGGGCCUGUCCUCACCUGAUCCUCAGCUGCAAAGACUGUUCCUGCUAUCGGCGGCUAAGGAAAACUGUGCUGUUUCAAUGGAAAUGCCACUGAAUGCAGCUCAGAUAGCACAGCAGAGGACAGGCUAUCAGCAAAUCAUAGAAUCAUUAAGGUUAAAAAGACUGCUAGGACCAUCAAGUCCAACUGUCAGACCAUCACACCAUGCCCACUAACUAUGUCCCUCAGUACCACAUCCACAUGGUUCUUGAGCACCUGCAGGGAUGGUAACUCCAUCACCUUGGGCAGUCUAUGCCACUGCUUCACUCUUUCUGAGAAGAAAUUUUCUCUAAUAUCGUACGUGAAUCUCCCCUGGUGCUACUUAAGGCCAUUUCCUCUCAUCCUAUCGCUGUUACCUGGGAGAAGAGGCUGACCCCCACUUUGCCACAACCUCCUUUCAGGUAGUUGUAAAGUCUCCCCUGAGCCUCCUCGUCUCCAUGCUGUACAAUCCCUGCUCCCUCAGCAGCUCCCCAUAGGAAGAAGACAUCAGCUAGGUUUAGCAAAUAUUUCAGCAGUAUUUUGAAGUUCCAAUGAAAACAGAGAAAGACUUUGAUGUCUACACAAUCUCUACUCCACCGUAUACUUCACCCCAUUCUUUUCAGUGGUGUUUAAUUAGAGUUCCCUGAGGCCAGACAGAUGUGAGAAGCAAAAUCAUAUGCCUUGCACCAUGAUCCAUGUGAGAGAAGUAACCAGAUGUUUUUUGGCUGCCAGCUUGGAAGUCCCUGCUGUCACUGAAGCAGUACUGAUAAGUCUUCUGGCAGGAAUUUACUAUAUUGGUUUCCCUAACAAUUUUUUUUUCAACGAAAUUAUUGCUUCUUGUGUUUUGUGGAUAUUUUCCAUGCAUUCAUGACUCCAGGGAAAAUUCCUAUCCAUCGAGCCCAUUCAGUGUGCUACUGUAUUUUCCUUCUUUGUGUUUUGUUUCCCAAACAUAAACACUAAUAACAACUUCUGGGACUCAAAGGAAGGCUCCUAAGUUUUGUUUCAAAAUAGCAAGGAAAAAAAAUAAAAGCCAGAGUGCACUGACACAAAUUUGGGGUUUCUGUUUUACCUAUGGGGGUGUUUGAAGGGGAGAAUGGUGGAUCUACAAAAGUUUGAUUCCAGCAGAUCUCUAACCUGUUUUGCUCUCUUGCUUUAAGUCUUUUUUCCCUUCUUCUUCCUUCCCCAUUCUUACUAAUACUGUUCUCUUUACAUGAGUAACUUUUAUCAUUUUUCCUUUUCAACCAUUUAAUUGUUUUUUUAAUUUCCUUUCUCCUUCUGUCAUUCCUUUUUAAUUCCGUUUUACCUUCCCAUCCUCUUCUCUUUUCCUUUUUCUCUUAGCUCUGCCCUUCUCUGUGGGAGCUGACACUUAUCCCCAAAUUAGUGCGGUAACACAGGAAAAAACCUUGUUUUCAGAAGCUCCCAUCAGUCUCAGGACAAGCAGUGCACUGGGCUAGCGCCUUACUAAAUAUAACCCUUUUGUUUGGCAUAAGAUGGCUCACCCUGGUUCAGUGGAAUGGCUUUGUUUUAGGUGUAGAUAGUACAUCGGGGCUGCCUGGCAGGUGCAUCUUGCAGUCAGUGUCACCAAGCAAUAAAUUCUGUAAUUACAGGUCAUGGAGGUGGAGUUCUCCUUUGAUGUGACUUUUUUUGUUGUUGUUGCAAGCGGAUACAAUUUGCCUGAGAUAUCAAAUGCAGAUAGCAGUAAAAAUUUAAUUAACAAAUCAAAGCUUUUAUCUGGGGUUCUAAGAACUCAAGCCAACAGGUUUUUUCAAUUUAAAGACAUCACAGGCAGAAGGACAAAGGCAGUGACUUUGUAGUAUAUUCAGCUUACAACCUUUUUAGUGAUGCUUGCAAAGAUAAAACUUUUUUAGCUGUUGCUUUUCAGUCUGGAGAAGCUUUUAGGUCUUCCUCAAAAGCAAGUAUGUUGUUCAUUGCCUGCCUUAUUUUCAUAAUUCUAACUUCACCGUGAGCACACAUUUCUCUCAUGGCUCUGCGGAUUACUUAUCAGGAGAAUGUGAGGAGCAGUCAGGCUCCACGUUCUUGCUGGUUAAUUCCACUUACAGUGAACCACUUGCUCAUGAUAUCAAUUGGCCUAAACUGUGGGCAUGAUGUUUCUUCCAUGAUUCGCUUAUCUCCUUAAGAAUGAAAGCCUGGUGGAAAACUUGUCUCUUGGCUUCUUCAUAUGCAUAUGGGGAAGUUACUGUUUUCCUUCGGUGCCUUCCUAUCGUGCAGUCAUGAUUGAAAUGGCCAGGUCCAGAAACUGAGUGUCUGAGUCACAUUACUCAUUCUGCUGGUAACUCCUGGGAGUUGGGGGAGCAGCAGUCUGCCCCUUUGCGUUGUGUGUGUGUGUACCUACUACUUACUGUCUAUGUACUGAACAUCAGGCAAAUGUGUAAGGAAAUCUUUUAAAAAUCCACAUACCCAGUGCCACUUUUGCUGGAAGCCACUUCUCAGAGCACCCCACGUUACAGCCAACUACGACCUCUGGGUAGAAGGAUGACAAGUGGAGGCAGCGCUCUCUCAAUAAAUGCAACUGUCUUGCAUUCAUGGGUCAGCUGCUCCUUGGAAUUUAUUUCUGGGGAUGUUUAGAAACCAAAAUUAUAAAAUCCUGCAGAAAAGAUUAAAAGAGAGCGCUGUAACAACAACAACAAAAAUCUCAGAAGUUCACCAUAAUGUUAUGUACUUGACUUUCCAAGACUGAUAAAUGCUUCAGAUGAAAGUACACUGUAUUGCAGGCAACACCGACUGCCUUUCUGUGGGGUCUGUGAAGGCACAUUGUCACAUUCGCCCUACCUAUGUGUUUGUUCAUCUGGGAUUAGCCCAAGCGUCUCUGCAAGUGUGCACACAAAGAUCUUAGUUCAGGAAAUAUAUACCACUAUUGAAUAGCACUUAGGAAAGCCUUAAGUACAGGAGCACUUAAUCAUGGUCUUAAGGACCUUCCUGAAAUGAAGCCAGAGAACCUGAGUCAAAGACCUUGGGAGUCAACACAACGCUGUGAACUUGUGCUUAUGUGUAUUUAGAGGUGCGGGUCCUGAAUUUAAAUGUACAACUUCUGAUUUCUGAGCUGACUGCUCAAACAGCUGAAUGGGAUGACUGAAAUAAAAUCCUCUUGAGCAUGGAUGAAGUGGGCAAAGACUCCUAGUGAACUUGUAGUACGGAGUAUUUAUAGUACAGUUACCCAUUAAUAAAGUAUAAAUUGUCAAGCAAUUGCUGUUGCAAAAGCAUCAAAAUCUCUCCAGAGCUGUAGCAGGCAUAAAAAAAAAAGAAAGAAAAAAAGAUUGGCCAUUCUUGUGUUUAAAGUAUGCAAAUUAACUUCUUGACAUUUGUGUUACUAAUUUUAAUGCUUUGAUGGAAGAACUCUGUUACCAUAAAAGCCCCAGACAUCACCUCACAGGGCUAAGAAAAAAGGAGGAAAGAGUUCAAAGUGAAUAAUUACCUGUUGAUGAUGUAUUAUAUUUAAAGACUCUGGCUGUGGAUUAAAGCUAGUUCUCAGGUUGUUAAUAGCCUGCAGUAAACAACUAAUGAAUCAAAGAAAAGGAGGAAAAGCAGCUAUAGACGAAGGGCAUUCUCAUUAAUACCAAAGGCCAGAGUUGAAGUGUCAAAUGUAACACAAUAAAAUACAGUCAUUUCACACCAGAGUGUGUAAGAAUUCAGGAAAAUAGUCACAGGUGAAUUAUUAAGGGCUUGUCAUUUAAGCUUUGUUCUCCUAGCACUUUGAUGCCAUGCACACUACCAGGUUUUCCACCCCUCUGUUUUUUUUCUGUAGUUCAGCUGCGACUUUUAUGUGGUGUAAGAAGGAGAACAGAUUUGGAUAUCAAGAGCUGUACCUACAGCAGUGGCGACUAACCUUACUGUGGAAAGAGUAGGACAAAAAAAAGCUGGAAGGAGGAGGCAUGGAGCAGAAAAUGGUGAGAAAACAGUUGAAAACAGUGCAGGAUAAACUGGGUAUCUACAGGGAUCUUUCUGGCUUUGAACUACUGAGAAUUUUGAUAAAACGCAAAAACAAGUGAUUCAUGUGGGUGUGGUGGGGAAUUAUUUCAACAUACCUCAGCUAAAUAGACGUCAGCAGUGCUUCUAUCUGUGGUCCUUCAGUCCUGCCCCAUUCUCUUCUCACCAGAGCAACACCUUUUAGCGACUGGCAGUUCUCACCAGAGCGUAGGGCCCUUUUUUUGUACAAAAGCUCAAUUCUCAGAAGCAUUAAAAGAGGGAACGUAGCUUUUAUUUAGUGUGGGGGAGCCGAGAUUUUUUGUGAGUCCUGAACUUUUCAGGGGGAUGUACCUCUUCUCUUUGAAAGUUAUUUUAGGAUAAAUAUAACACUGUGAAAAUGCCAUCUAUCAGUUUGGUAUGUAUGGCACAGCGUUCUCUGAUUUUUCACCUCUUGUCAGACCUUGACUUUUAAGGCUGCUAGAUCUUCUCAGGGUUCACAGAUGGGGUGUAAGAGCUGACUGAAAGUAAGGGAAAACAAAGUGUGGAAGAUAUAUUUCCACUGAAAAGUUGGUAGGUAUUCCAAAGAGAGCAGUUAUUUUUAAGGUGUAAGUAUCAAUAUAUUCCAAGAAAUAAACCAUUAUGUUCAACAAAUGAUCUACAGAUAAUCAUCUUUUCACACAUUGUGGUGAGUUAGGCUAACAGCACACCUUUCUCAGGUAAGUUGUAAAAGAAAGCCAGCUAAUCAGCAGCCUUUACAUCCAGUCUGUGGUGUGUCUGAAGCAUAAGCUUUAAGUUAAGAACAGCAGACAUUUGCAUACAGUUCAUUUAAAGGAAGAGUGCUUGCAGUGACAAAACACAUGCCAUUAGCCUUGCUCCACAGAAGCAAGGUCAAAGGUUCAAGAUCUGUGUGGGAAAAGUAAUGGCAGGAGCAUGGAGCCACACCAGGAGCAUCACCCCCAGCAGGAAGAAAGGCACAUGUGGGGAGCUUAAUUGCAAAAUGCCAUCUCAUAGGAAGGUUAUGCAGAAGAAAAGUAGGUUACCAUGUUACCACUCAGCAUGAAUGCACCAAGGGGAAAUCAUGCUCUCCCAAACUGGUAGCCUUCUCUGAUGUCAUGACUGCUUGGGUAGAUGAAGGGAGAGCAAUGGAUAUUGUUUACCUUGACUUCGGCAAGGCUUUUGACACUGUUUCCCACAACAUCCUUAUAGGUAAGCUUAGGAAGGAUGGGAUAGAUGAGUGGGCAGUGAGGCGGAUUGAGAACUGGCUGACUGGCAGAGCUCAGAGUGUUGCAAUCAGCAACACAGAGUCUGGUGGGAGGCCUGUAACUACUGGUGUUCCCCAGGGGUUGGUGCUAGAUCCAGUCUUGUUUAACAUCUUCAUCAGUGACCUGGAUGAAGGGAUAGAGUCCACCCUCAGCAAAUUUGCUGAUGAUACACAGCUGGGAGAAGUGGCUGACACACCAGAAGGCUGUGCUGCCAUUCAGUAAGACCAAAUAGGUUUGAGAACUGAGUGGAGAGGAACCUGAUGAAGUUCAACAAGGGCAAGUGUAGAGUCCUACACCUGGGGAGGAAUAACUACAUGCAUCAGUACAGGUUAGGGGCUGACUUGAUGGAGAGGAGCUCUGAAGAGAAGGACGUGGGCGUUCUGAUGGAUGACAGGUUGGCCAUGAGCCAGCAGUGUGCCUUUGUGGCCAAGAAGGCCAACGAUAUCCUGGGGUGCAUUGAAAAGAGUGAGGCCAGCAGGUCGAGAGAGGUUAUCCUCCCUCUAUGCUCUCCCCUAGUAAGGCCACAUAUGGAGUGGCCCUGGAGGGAUGCAGGCAGCCUGAGCUGCUGAACAUGGAGAGCCUGAACAAUGUACAUGGACUAUAAACCAAACUUUUGGAUCUUUAAUGUUGAAUGAGGUAAAUCCCAAUCAUAAUCCUCAGCACUUUCGAUAGACGUUUGUCAUUAUUUCCAUAUCCACAAUUUCUCCAACACUUGAAAUAUACGCUUCCCGUCCUGAUAAGUGACAGUGCUCACCCCCCCAUCUGUUUCCUCUACUAUGGUGCUAAUCCUGUCUCCAAGCUAUGUGCUUUCUACAGUGGGUUUCCCAUAGCAGAUACUUGGCUGUGUUGUUGGGUUCUGAUAAAUGAAAUAUCACUGAAAAGCUUUGUUAGGCCAAAUGAGAAACAUAAUAAACAAAGAAGUGUGAUGGUCUCUGUUCCAGAGCAGCUGAAGUGUCCUAGGCAUUCCAGCAGCUCACCCUCAAAUCACCAUCUUGAUAAUGGCUGGGCUAUGUAUUCUGCAAGUGUGAUCUUUGCAUCAGUGAAAAUUAAAUGGGAGAGAGGGAGUCCAAAGAAUAGAUGAGUGGUUCAUCUGCAUUCCCUGGAUAUUGGACAUGUCUAUUCAAAGGAUCAAGGGUUAGAGCAUGGCUUUGCUGGAAACAAGCGGGCAGAAGUUAGUGGCCAGAGCAUUUCCUGCACUGCGUACUAUCUUGCUGUGCUUUUUGGAGAAGGCAAGGGAGCCACAGGACUGCACAGCCCCUGUCUUAUCUCUAUUAGUAUGGUGUCCAUCUACACUGGCAUGUAUAUGUUGAGGGGAUAGUGAGGCAGAUAAUUCAAAUGUUCCUCCUCACGUCUUUUUCAUUUCAGACAGGCAGCACAUGUGUAUGUAAAACAAACAAGCAACAACAACAACAAAAAAAACCAACAACCAAAACUAUCUGUUUGGGGCUCUUUGGUGAGCCAUAAACUGGCUGCUUCCAUGUCCUGCACUACCCUUGCUCUCCACAGUUCUUACUGCUUGCUCUGGGGAAUGCAUCUUGUGGAAUCUUUUGUGAUGGACUCCUAGAUCUCUGCAAAGUCUCAGGCUGGGCUUGCCAAAGCAUGCUGCUCCAGUGCGUUAUUCGUAUUGUAGUCAAUGCCCAGAGGCCCCUCUCUACUGAGCAGUGUCUGUGGCCGGAACAUAUGCAGCUGUUUGUCCUAAGGUCCAAGAUGAGCCCUCACACCACCUGCCCUGCCUCUGCAGCCCACGAUGUUCUGAGCCAUCAUUAAAGCUUAAUAUAUUCCAUUUGGCACUAGCGUGAGAAAGCUAUCUUGUUUAGGGGAAAAAAAAUUAUUAUUAAGCCCAAAGCAAAGAUGCAGGCACUUUUUGGUGAUGGUGUUGAUUAUUUGGAAAAUGUCAUUCCCAAGCUGCCUUGUUUGCCAAAUGAGAGACAUGUGUUAGUAAUAAACAGCACACAACACAGAUAUCUUCUAUAAAUGGCUGUUUCAAAACACAAUAAUAAAACAAGGGGACCAGGAAGUUCCCCAGAUCUAACACUGUACCUCUUUUAAAACUAUUGUGGCCUGCAGGCAAGACUUGUCCUCCCUUCUUCUCUUCCAUAUUGCUUUUCUUCCUCUAAAAUCUCAGACCUCUUCUCUAUUUUUCCUUGUAUAGAAUCUUAGAAGGUUUUUUUUUUGUUUCUUCCAGAGACAGUUAGUUGAAAUAUAUGCCUCUUCAAACUGAUCAUUCAUGCUAGACUUAGUUGAAUGUCAGUAAUGACAUGGAAAGUUUUCCAAGGACCUGAAGGAGGAAACUGUUCUAUGAAGCUUUCACUGCUCCUAUGGACUUCUUAUUCACUUUCAUAUUUCACUGCUCCUAUGGACUUCUUAUCUCUUCACGUUAGUGACUUUGGACACAGAUAUAAAUUGCCAUAGGUUGGUAAAAGAGUCAGAGGUCUGAUACAGCUCACGUCACCACCACUUUAAUGUGAAGCCAUUAAUUCAGGUGGCAUGCUUUCUGAAGGCAUCAGUGUAGUUGGAAUAAUUAUUGGCACAUCAGCUCUUAGAGAUUUACAGCAGAAGGGUUUGAACGUGCAAAUAUUUACGCAGGUGGGCAAACCUGUAGCCUGUUGUUGCCACAAACAACAUGUUGCAUGAGGAUGUUACUUAUCUGUAGUGAUGUGGGUGAAAGCAGGAUUUUAAGAGACCUAAAUAACACUAAAUAAUGAGUGGUAAGGACAGGAUAUUGUGCAUAAGGAGAAAAGUGCUACCUGUAUGAGGCGCACUUGUAAAUAGCAGAGUGGCGUUUGCUUGUUUGACACUCGAUGAUGCAAGACUAUUUAAUUGUUUGGGUGGCUGGGCUUCAUGCAGGAGACUACUAUUUCAAAUAUGGUUGGAGUAUAAUGAUGUAUAGUAACAUGUAAUGGUGGUGGUAGAAGACCAGCCUUCUGGUAACCUAGCAUCAUCUGUGAGUUAGCGAAGAGAGGAAGAGAAGGAGGUACAGAUGACUAAUGCAGUUACACCUUUCCUUUUUGACUGAUAGUGCCUUUCUUUCAUGUCUUACCGGACUCAUUGCUGUGGGGCAUCUGUGUAGGAGAAAAGCCAGUUUCUAUCUACUUCUGCUUUGCCUGUUCUUUCCAGUGUGACACUAGUUGCUGUGAUACACCCCCAGUAAAUAUUAGCUAACUACUGCAAUGUGUUCUGUGUGGGGUGUAGCAUAGAACAGAAGCAGAUGCAAAAUACCACAUUCCAUUUUCCAAACAACAACUGUGACCAAAUUGCUCCGUGCUUUACAUGGAGGAUCAGCCCAAAGAGCCCUAGGAUCAGCAGGAAUCUUCCCACUGACAUAAAAAUCUUUGGUUCAAGUCUUCCAAGAUAAUAGUAAGUGCUGGUUUUCCCCCAUAGUUGAGUAAGGCUUAGGAGAUGUCUCUGAAAGUCUGACCUCUGUCUUUUAUCCAGUGUGGCCAGGAAUGAGAUGAAAUCAGAGAUGAACUGGCACAGGAGAGGUGUUGCUUCUUGGCUGGGAAUGGAGAAAAACCUUUGCUUUUUUCCUCUGUCUGAAGCAUCUCAUCCUCCAGGCUGUGGAGACUUCUCUGUCCCUUGCAUAGAAGAGGGCAAGUUAGUCCUUCCAUGUGGAGUCAGUACUUGUUGAACUGUUCUUCCAGUUCACA